GACGAACGCUGGCGGCGUGCUUAACACAUGCAAGUCGAACGGAGUGGCGAACGGGUGAGUAACACGUGGGUGACCUGCCCUGCACUUCGGGAUAAGCCUGGGAAACUGGGGCUAAUACCGGAUAGUGUGGGAUGGGCCGGCGGCCUAUCAGCUUGUUGGGGGGGUAAUGGCCUACCAAGGCGGCGACGGGUAGCCGGCCUGAGAGGGUGGACGGGCCCAGUGGGCCUGAGGCACGGCCCAGACGCGUACGGGGGGCAGCAGGGGGGAAUAUUGCGCAAUGGGGGGAAGUCGGAUGCAGCGACGCCGGGUGGGGGAUGACGGCCCUCGGGUUGUAAACUCCUUUCACCAUCGACGCGGUAGAUGGAGAAGAAGCACCGGCUAACUACGUGCCAGCCGCCGCGGUAAUUC
rnacentral:rRNA from 1 species